AUGGAAUAAACAUGUCUGAUAAGCAAUUUUCUAAUAGGAAAAUCUGAUCUCUCUUACUUAAAGAGAAAUAGUGAGGAAGAAGGCAUGUGUGGAGUUCUUAACUGCUGAGACUGAACAAGCAGAGUGAUAGAAGCUGGUCUGCAAUGUCAAACACCAGGUUCUUGUUGCUGACCCCAGUGGAGUUUGCUGCAAUGCUCUGCUGCUCAUGGCAACGUUGAAACUACCAACCUGAGCCAAAAUCACACAUCUUAGAAGACAAGCUCCCCAUGCUGAAGGUGCAGCUGGAGCAAAAAAGAGCCAGACUGUCUGAAGGAUGAAGUGUGGGAAUGAGCCGUGUCGUGGUUUAAACCAAGUCCCCCAACUCCCGGAGAGUUAGGAAGGAGAAUCCAAAGAAUGUAGCCCCCACGGAUUGAGAUAAGAACGGUUCAAUUGCUAAGGCAUAACACAAAACCCCUACUGCCAUUUACUACUAC
rnacentral:lncRNA from 14 species